GCAACACAUUUUCUGCCUCAGAUUGAAGCCUGAAAGGAUCCUUCUUCCUACACAGCUUACAAACACAAUCAAGUAUUGCAUUAUAAGCUGAAGCCCCAAUUUCGAACCCUCCCCUAUACAUCUCCCCAGCUAACCGCUGUGCCUCAUCAAGUUUCCCAUCAAUACACCAACCCCUUACCAGCAUAUCGCAUAUAUAUUCGUCCGGGAAGAAUUCGCAAGCCAAACUUUUAACCAUUUUCUCAGCAUAGCUAGCAAAUCCAUGCUCACACAACCUAGAAACUACCAACUUCAAAGAAUCUAAAUCCCUCGCUAAACCGUAAUCUUUCUCCAUAUUUUCAAAAAAUGCUACUGUCUGAGUGGGUCUUCCAGCCCUAACAAGUCUAUCAACCAUGGAUUCUAACGUCUUCCUUCCCGUUAACCCUAUCCCAUCAAUAAGUACAUCCUGGGCAGCUUUAAAAUCCUUUCUCCUUCCAAAAU
rnacentral:misc_RNA from 1 species